UGGUGGUCCCUCGACUCAGCCCCUAAGUUCACUACUUCCUCCAGAGUUCUCACCUCGCCCUGCCUCUGGGAAAGCCCCUAACUAUAAACAGAUAAGAGUCGGGGAUAUGGAGAGAAUGAUAAUGUGAUUUGCAUUAUUUUUCAAUGCUACAUCUAUAAUAAUUUUUACAUUCUAGAAGUCAGGUUCUUUGCCAGUCCCAGAAAGGCACAAGGCAGGAAAGGGAUGGGGGGGUGCCAAAUUCCAGACAUGACUCAGAUAGGAUUCCCACCUCUACAGAGAUGUCAAUUUAGUUGGAAGCAAGGGAGCUUGCCUUACAUGACAGGGAAAUAGAGACCGGAAAAGCAGGCACUGAAGGUUUCUUGGGUCUCCAGUUGAAAGAGCUGAAUUUGGAGUAGGGGCAUGGAGCAGCCCUAACCACUAUCCUACACAAGUGGAAAUUCACCAAGCCUCCCAGUUCUGAGGGCAACAAAAGCUUUUUCCUGGGGUAAUGUGACUUUAUUCACCUUCCCACCAAGCUUAUAAGGUGGUGCCUCUCUAAUCAGAAGAGGAAUAUGAGUAGGAGCAUUCAGGAUGAAGAAGGAGGGAAGUAUCUUGCCAUCUUACCUGUCAAUUUUAAGCUACACCUGUGAGUUUCAGGUCCUGGAUUACUUCCCAUGCUCCUCUUUUCCUCUGGGAACUUACAUUCCUGUAGGAAGAGAUCCUAGGAGCCUGUGGAUAAGAUCCUUUCAGUUUUCUCAUGUGAAGCUGUAAAAGCUCUUCUGCCUGGACAAGCCAGCUACACCUCUCAGCCUUCCUUGCAGUUAGCAGUGACCAUGUACUGAGUUCUAGCCAAUGAAACAUAAGUGGAAGUGAUGCAUUCAGCUUUUUAGCAUUCCCUAAAAGCUUCCCACCUGUCUCUUCCCUGUUCUUUUCUCCUUCUAAUGGGCUGAUUACAGUGGCCUGGAAAGCCAAGUGCUGAAGGUAACAGAGACUAUCAGUCUGCAUCCUGAGUGACCAUAAGAAGAGGUCAUCCCAUAGAAUUCUUCAUCUUUCCAUGGAUUUUGCAUGAGCAAAAUAAAGAAAUUAUACACAGAGACAGAAAGAGGAGAAUCAUAGGUAAACAUGAUAAAAACAAUUGGAGAAUCUGAGUUAAGAAUAUGCAAGAAUCUUUUGUUUGAUUCUUUUUUUUUAUUUGAUUCUUGCAGCUUUACUAUAAAUGCCUAAUUAUUUCAAAAUAAA